AAUGAACCACACAGAAAUAUCAAAUGUGAAAUGCAACUCAGAGUUAUGAGGCAUUCCCAUCUUAGAGAUACUUACUUAUGUCAAUCGAGUGAACAAUUGAAGCAAAUGCAAGACAAUAAUUAUUUCAGGCAGUAAGUUCACAACUCAUAGAAUAUCAGACGAGUGAAUACUUGAAACAAAAUCAAAACAAUAAUUCUCACGACAGGUGGAGAUUAUAGCAUUCUAAAUCAGAUAAUAAAAUUUUAAUCAAUAAAAUAAACAUAGAUAUGCUUUUAAUUAAGUGUAGACGUGCACUUGAAAACAGAAGAGACAAUUGCUCUACUUUGAAAAGAUGGACAGAUUUUGUACUCGAUACCAUAAGUCAUGGGAAGAUGUGAUAAAAAACUGCUUCGAAAAGGAGGAGCCGCGAAACGAUUUCAUUAUCGCUGCAUUUCAAUACGUCCUAGACAUGGUCGUAUUCGGAGAUAUGGUACAAACUACAGAACUGAAGGUGCAAGAAUUUAUAUGCCGAAUCUACAAUACUGUUACAAGAUCGUAGUCUGUGUCCAGAUGCGUUCUCCUUGCCCCAAGUUCGUUCGGACAAUGCCCACGCGACGGUUCGAAACCGCCCGCCCAUUUUCACGCCUGUCUUUUUCGUCUUCGCAACAUCACACCCUUUCUUCCCCUCUGGCACUGUUGCGUUGAUCUUCCUGGGGAGCCUCGUUGCCGGUUGAGAGUUCACGGUACGGUGCCAGACGGUCGACGUGAACGACAAGGGGCCGGGCACGGCCUGUCCGCCUGAUCCGGUAGACGACGUCAUUGAGGCGCUUAGCGACGACAUAUGGCCCCUGCCACGGCCGCUGCAACUUGGGAGAUAGGCCCCGCUUCCGAACAGGGUUGUAGAGCCACACCGAUUGGCCUUCCUCGAACCUCCCUCCGGACGCCGCCCGAUCGUAGCGAGUCUUCAUACGUGUGAAUGCUUUCUGCAGAUGUUCUCUCGCAAACAUGUGCACAGUCUCGAGGCGUGUGCGCAAUGUCCGUAGGUAGCCGGAGACGUUGCCUGCAGCGUGGUCAGCGUCUGGUGUUGGACCAAGAGCCAGCUCGGUUGGAAGGCGGAGGUUGCGUCCGGUCGCCAUCAUCGCUGGUGUUUCCCCUGUAGCCUCGUGGAGCGCUGUCCUGUACGACAGAAGGAAGAGGGGAACCAGAGUAUCCCAAUUCCUCUGAUUCUCGGACACAAAUAAACUCAUGUGCUGCAGUAUAGUGCGGUUGAACCUCUCCACCAUUCCGUCGGACUGAGGGUGCACUUUAAUCUAGUUCCCUCUAACGUUACUCUGAUACGCACCUAACUUGUGAAAUACAAGUUAUUUGUGCUCGAUGUAAAGGUUACAGCCCAUUCAAAGGUUACAUGCGGACGUGCGCUGCCCUCUUACAGGUUACAUUGCGAGAGAAACAGUGGCGUUACCCCUAAGGAACGACGGCGUUACGCUUUUGGAGAAGUUACCAGCGUUACUUAUAAAAGCGAAGUGGUCCGCAGUUUCGCGAAAGUCGGCAGGUGGAGGUUGCACGUCAAGUGGCAGUUGGCAACAGCGUGUAUCAGGAAAAAGCGGGAGGAGCGUUUCGCUUGCUGUGUGGUACCUCGCCGCUUCGACAUCCGUUGCAUUGGAAACAACGGAAUUCAAAGUCACAUACUCGCAGGUGGAUAUAUGAUGUGACGGACGCACACAGACAUUCGAGGUUUCACACAGGGACGUUGCACGGACGCCGGCUGUGAUCGUGAUGCAUUUAUUGGAGAAAUGGAUGAAAAUGGGCAUGCACUGGAAGUAGCAUGCUGUUAUUGUCACCAUGUACGAGCCAAGCAUGCAGCACUGAGUGAAACAGGUUGUUUUGAACUUCAGACGUCAUGAGCAAAGCAUUUUUAACGUUACAAUUGCAUUCGGCGCAAUAGCACAGAAAGUGGUAGGACUAAAAGCACCCGAUAUAUUAUGGCCUUGCAAUUUGUGCAGAAUAUUGCAGUAAAAAAGAUUGUUCUUCGCAGGUAACCCAUAGCGCAGCUCCACUGGUUCCAAAUUUGAUGGACACAGCCAUGAGUUACCUGGCAGUAUGGUGGCAGAGGGUAUCUUGUGCCACAGAAGUACAUACGAACAGUCCAGCAGAAAUACAGCAGCAGCCCAAUCCCAGUCUAUAACUCUGCAGAGGCUCAGAGAGAUAGCAGCAAACCAGGUCCUUCCCACAACUCUCCGCAAGCUCGGGAUUCGUCGCAAACCCAGCCAGCCAGCCAUGUACAAACCUAUAUUUGCCAACAUUGUAGAUUGUCGACUAGGUAUUUCCAGUGCUUUUGUGACCACGUUGUUCAGUGUGUUGGUAGUGGCUUUCUCCCUUCUUGUGAUACUUGUGGAACAACGUUUGAAACCAUCUAAAGAUACAUACAUCAUUUGAAUUUUUGUAUUUAGUUAAGCACACGAGUACAGGAUGACAUAACAUGACAGGAUGAGCCAGCCAACACAAUGUAUAGGUGAGCUACUUGAGCAGAUGGAAAGAACAGAUCAAAGUUCGAAGAAUAAUCUGAAAAAAAAAAGGCUAUUUAUGCCAUAACCCAGAGGGCCACCACAUGUGCCCCAAGGUGGUUGUCGAUUGCGUUGUAAGCAGCAUAGAGGAAUUGUUUCAGGAAAUGGGUGUGCAGAUUGACACCACUUUGGUAAAAUCAGAUCAGGUUCGGAAGUUGCAUUAUGAGGAACCCCUAAUUUUUUGUAACGUGCCUUAAGUGCAGAAUGCGUUGGGGUUCUUCAUCUCAUUAAACUUUCAUUUAGAUAAUUUUUCUACACGUCAUGUGAAGAUGACUACGAAUUAUCUAUUUUGCUAAAGUCAAAAAGUGACUUGUCAACUCAGUUCCGUUAUAUGUACAUUCAGUGCAAGGUGUUCUGCAGUUUAGUAAUACUCAUAUUUCAUAUAUGCCUUUUCUCUGCAUGAUCCUUCGGAGAUAUUUUGCUCCACUGAAGAAGAGACUUGUGAACUCGAUUUUGACUUUCAGUGCAAAGUGUAUUGCAUCUUGAACCUUUAAUAUUACUCCUAUUUAAUAUGUUACAAUUCAUUCUUUCAAUGAUCUUUCCAUGUGUCAUAUGAAGAUGAUAAAGAAUUUUACAGUAUAUUUUUCGAGUAUUUUGCGUAGAAUACUAUGUAGUAUGAACCGUUGAUAAUAAAGUAACGCUGUGUUUGCAAAGAAAA